CCUACGGGCGGCAGCAGUGGGGAAUAUUGGACAAUGGGCGAAAGCCUGAUCCAGCCAUGCCGCGUGUGUGAAGAAGGCCUUCGGGUUGUAAAGCACUUUCAGUGGGGAAGAAAGCCUUGGGGCUAAUACCCUCGAGGAAGGACAUCACCCACAGAAGAAGCACCGGCUAACUCCGUGCCAGCAGCCGCGGUAAUACGGAGGGUGCGAGCGUUAAUCGGAAUUACUGGGCGUAAAGCGCGCGUAGGCGGUCUGAUAAGCCGGUUGUGAAAGCCCCGGGCUCAACUUGGGAACGGCAUCCGGAACUGUCAGGCUAGAGUGCAGGAGAGGAAGGUAGAAUUCCCGGUGUAGCGGUGAAAUGCGUAGAGAUCGGGAGGAAUACCAGUGGCGAAGGCGGCCUUCUGGACUGACACUGACGCUGAGGUGCGAAAGCGUGGGUAGCAAACAGGAUUAGAUACCCCUGUAGUC
rnacentral:rRNA from 1 species